rnacentral:lncRNA from 1 species
UUUUCAUAUGGAUAUUGAUUAUAAAAUUAUAACCAUGCAUAAACAAAUUAUGUUGGUUCAAAAUAUGAAAACUAUAUAAAUAUGGUUUAACAACAUGGUCCUAAAUAUUGAACUGUUAAUUAGCUUUAUAUAAUACUGCUUUAACUUAUGGUCUUACUCUGAUGCACCUACAAACAAUCGACACAAUGUUCAUCAAUUUUACUGUUCUGUAUAUCUAUGUUCUCUGUAUAUCUAUCACAAAUAUUCUGCCAUCCCUGAUGGUUCAUGUGACUAGUUAACAUAAAAUAACAUGAUGACUUAUAAAUAAAAAAAAAAGAAAUAUAUCUGGCAUAAAGGAGGAAGCAAACAAAAAUAUGCAUUCAAUCUCUGAAAACCAUCUAAAUUUUGAUAUGUUAUAACCUUCUACAUUCUAAUUUUUCAAUUUUUUCAAGUCUCUAAAUUAUUAUCAAAUUUCUAAAAGUGGGUUAUCUUUAACAGAAAAAUACAAACAUACCUCCUGAACAAAGGCUGUAUUUGAUAAAAAAGAUAAUAUUUUAGCUGUUGUCAGCAGCUUUUUUAUUCAGCUAAUGCAUGUACAUAUCAAGUUGUUUGUUUGUCUACAUUCUAAUGGUAAGAUGUAUUGGUGAAAAGGUAGAACAACACAACUGUCUACAUUCUAAUGGUAAGAUGUUUUGGUAAAAAGGUAGAACACAACUGUCUACAUUCUAAUGGUAAGAUGUUUUGGUGAAAAGGUAGAACAACACAACUGUAAAAUAGUUUGAUAUUCUAUAAUUAAGGAGGCUUGCGGGUAUAAGAUUUUCAGAAAAAAAUUAAACAUUUAUUUUUCAUUACAAUUUUUUUUUAUUACCUUCAUUAGUUGUUACUUUAUCAUAUGGUACAAAAAUCAUUCCAAAAAAUCAAUUCAUUUUGGCCCCAGGUGACUUUUAAAAUGUAUAUAUCAAAAAAAAAAGCUCCAAAUUAUCUCCAUUUGGUUCUAAAAAUGCCAUUUUUUGGCGUUAAAAUUGAAAUAUCUUUUUUUAACUCAUAGGUGACCUAUAUUUUUUAUUGUUGUAUAUUAACUAAAUAAUUGAAAGCAAUUUCUGUAAUUUAGUUCUUUUUUUUAUUUUCUUGUCAAACUAAACAACUGUUGAUCUAAAACCCAGUCAAUAACUGUAUACUGAUGUACAUACAAAACAUCUUUGAUUUAUACCGUGAAAAUGGGAUAUAUUUCAAUGUGGCAUAUAACCAACCUUUCAUUUAUACCAGGAAUCUUUCUUUUUAGAUAUAUUUAGGGAAUAAUAAGUCAACGGUUGUUAAUCUGUAAACAAACCUCUCAUCCUUGUAUUCAAAAUAAACAAAUAACUUGUACAUAUUGUAUAAAUGCUACUCUAAGUGUAAAUUGCCUAGCAAAUGACAAAUAAAUAUCACAGAAACUCAUAUGCAUUUGAUCAAAACUGCAGAACUUACAUCACUCUUUCAGAAUUAACAGAAAAACUCCUCAUUACAUGAAACCCUCCAUCACAGAAACAGAAGUAUGGAGAUAAAGCUUUACCCUAUAUUAUUUUCCUAUUGCACAUCAUCAUUUUUUCUUUUAUAAAACAAAGAUCAAUAAGAUUCUGAAUACAACAAUUUAGUUAAUUCAUUCAUGACAACCUGACACAUGGACAGUACGAUUAACC